GUGAGGGAGGGGAUGACUAGUGACAGAGUGAGGGAGGGAAGUGGUGACUAGUGACAGAGGGAAGGGUGACUAGGGACAGAGUGAGGGAGGUUGUGACUAGUGACAGUCACCACCUCCCUCACUGUCACUAGUCACCCCCUCCCUCACUCUGUCACCAGUCAUCCCCUCACUCUGUCACUAGUCACCCCUUCCUUCCCUCACUCUGCCACUAGUCACCCCUUCCCUCAC
rnacentral:sRNA from 1 species